UACAUAUUAGAACGCUUACUGUAACGGAUGAGCACGUAGAAGAAGUGAGACUCGUGUGCGAUGUUAAAGGACCUAGAAUAAUGAUUUCAGUUAGCCGUGCGUAUGAAAAGCGCUACUCACCGAAUUAAAUUAAAUUAUAAGCACGAACGAGUGUGCCGCUUCGCUCUUCUGUUAAUAUUUCUAAAAACUCUUUUAUUAGUGUCUUUAGUUAGUUCUUUUUGAAGUGCUAAUUAUUUAAAUGCAAUUGAGAGAUAAACACAUUGACUGUGUAUGAGGAAAUCAGCAAUGAAACAAGUGUUUGCUUUGUAAGUUGGUGUUUCAGACUAAGUGUGCGUGAAAUGUUGAGGCAGGGAAAGUAGUAAUACAGAAUAGUUCACAUUUAGAAAAUACUAUUAAAUACAAUAAUAGUAUGAUUUUCCACUAUUAUUACAAAUCGCAAAAAAUAAGAACGCUGAUAUAAUACAAAUAAAAUUAACUAAUCAUAUAUGUAUUCAUUCGCCGACAGGUGUAAAUCGAAGGUCUCACAGGAGAAAUAAAAUUUUACAUCAGCGAUCGAAGGGUCAAUUACACACACACACACACAUCGUUACUCGAAGAAUUCUCUAUGACGUCGUAGCACCCGUCAUUGGAUGACAAUGACCACUUUCAGCAUUACUGCAAGGAUUUGGCCGACUUAUUGGUCGAGAAGUUGGACAUCAGUUGUAAGUAUUCAAGUACUUUUCUCCUUCUCCUGAAUCUAUGGGAGUCAAAUCGGGCGCAGAAUGCAUUGUUUUAAAUUUCCACUCCACAAGUGUUUUACAAACAUUUUCAAUUACUGACAACAAGUAUUCGUGUCAAUUUGGUGAUUUGUAAACAAAUUUGUCAAGAAGCAUGUCAUGUCGUCAAAUACUAGCCAAUCAUAAGCUGCAAGUGGCACUCAACUAGUUAUUAUCACGUGUACUGAACACACCAAGCAAUGUAACACUAUACAUAAGUUCAAACAGCGUCAACGUCAACAAAUUUUCAGCAAUCUCCAUACAUUUCCGUUACGGCAACAAAUUCGCCUAUACAUUGCUUACCACGGUUCAGAUGGCUUCCAGUAUAAUAUACCGCUCAAACAGAUUAAGCAAAUGAAUAACUACAAGAAUAGCACUGCGUUCAAACCGAUGCGCGAACGCUGCAAAAACAGUGGCCGAUAAUGAAUGCAUUAAAAAAAUUACUGGGGACUUAGGCCCAACGCUGUAUGGAAGCCGAACUUUAUAUUGUUCUAUAAUGUCAUCAGUAUAGCUGUAAGCGAUACCUUGGAAAAACGUGGCAAGAGUUUAAUUGCUGUCAUUGGCGCACCCGAUAACAAAUAAUCAAAAGCCGGCAUUGUGUCCCCUCAUUGGUUGGGGAUUACCGCUUGCACCAUAGCGCUCGUUUAUUUUUCCACUUACAAUUUGAUUUUGGCGUUACGUUGCACUAUAAAGUAACAGCUUAUCAAGGAUGGAGCAGCGGCACCAGUGUGACCGCUAACUUCGUACACGGCAAUACCAGCAUUGAUCCCUCUCAGAGAGUGGCAUUGGGAAAAUAUGUUUGAAAUGUAUGGGCAUAUCUUCGUUUAAAGAAGUUUUUUUUAAUAUAACUUGAUUGAAUUUAAUUUAAAUUAAAACGAUUUUUGCAAUAAAUGACGCCAAUGUGUGAAUUUACGUUUCAAUGGAA